rnacentral:rRNA from 1 species
UAGGGAAUCUUCGGCAAUGGGGGGAACCCUGACCGAGCAACGCCGCGUGAGUGAAGAAGGUUUUCGGAUCGUAAAGCUCUGUUGUUAAGGAAGAACGAGUGUGAGAAUGGAAAGUUCAUACUGUGACGGUACUUAAUCAGAAAGGGACGGCUAACUACGUGCCAGCAGCCGCGGUAAUACGUAGGUCCCGAGCGUUGUCCGGAUUUAUUGGGCGUAAAGCGAGCGCAGGCGGUUAGAUAAGGCUGAAGUUAAAGGCGGUGGCUCAACCAUUGUAGGCUUUGGAAACUGUUUAACUUGAGUGCAGAAGGGGAGAGUGGAAUUCCAUGUGUAGCGGUGAAAUGCGUAGAUAUAUGGAAGAACACCGGUGGCGGAAGCGGCUCUCUGGUCUGUAGCUGACGCUGAGGCUCGAAAGCGUGGGGAGCGAACAUG